rnacentral:tmRNA from 1 species
GGGUUAGUAAAGGUUUCGACAGGGAUCUUGCAGCUGGAGAAGCUAUCCGCACGUGAUGCGUCAAAUCACAACUUUAAACACAAACGCUGAAGAUAAUUUAGCAUACGCAGCCUAAUGGCUGCUGUCCGUCCUAAUGCACCUACACCUUAGGGUACGGGCAUCGAGCCUGUAGGAAACGACACCGGCAAAGCUUUGAGCCAGUGGGCGUACCAUGAAGCUACUGAACGCACAGGGGUGCCAAUCUCCCGGUGCCGGAGGGAAUGAGGAGCAAUCCAAAAUGAUAGGCUACGAUAGUAGAAGGACAGGGAAUGGCUCUUUGGACGCGGGUUCGACUCCCGCCUAAUCCAUCC